GAAAUGCGAUAAGUAGUGUGAAUUGCAGAAUUCAGUGAAUCAUCGAAUCUUUGAACGCACAUUGCGCCCCUUGGUAUUCCAUGGGGCAUGCCUGUUCGAGUGUCAUCUACACCCUCAAGCUCUGCUUGGUGUUGGGCGUCUUUGUCCCGCCUCCGCGCGCGGACUCGCCCCAAAUUCAUUGGCAGCGGUCCUUGCCUCCUCUCGCGCAGCACAUUGCGCUUCUCGAGGUGUUGCAGCCCGCGUCCAGAAAGCAAUCGUUACCGUCUUUGACCUCGGAUCAGGUAGGGAUACCCGCUGAACUUAAGC
rnacentral:misc_RNA from 1 species